UUGCUGUAUGAGAAAAAGGAACCACAGUAACCUUCUAAUACAGCACUUAGAUUAAGGGCAGAUUUGUACCAGCAAUAAGCAAUGUGGACACACAUCUGGCAACACCAGCAGGACUUGAUCCCUGACGGAGUGUGGUGGUUUUACCGUGCUAGGCAGCUGAACACCACAACCGCUCACUCACUCCCCCUCCUUAGAUGAGGAGGGGAAGAUGUAAAGGAAAGAACAACUCACAGGUUGAGAUAAGGAUGAUUUAAUUAAAGGGAAGAAAAAAUAAUUAUUAAGGAAAGAUUAUUAUUAAUUAAACAAUUUAACUAAAGGGGAAAAAAAGGAAAGGGGAAAAGGGAGGGGGAAAAGGAAAACUAAACAAAACAAGUAAAGGCUAUGUGGAAGUGCAGAGGAAAGAAAUUACUCUCUACUUCCCACAAAUGAGCGAUGCUUGACCACGUCCUUGAAGGAGGGCCUCAACGCACGUAGCCGGUGUUCGGGAGGAGGACAGACGUUUUCACAACGAGAGCCCACCCCUCCCCUCUUCCUCCUUUUUCCACCUUUUAUUGCUGAGUGUGACAUCAUCUGGUAUGGAAUAUCCCUUUGGUUGGUUUAGGUCAGCUGCCCUGGUGAUGUUUCUUUUCUCACAUCUUUGCCCACCCCUAGGGGGGUUAGAGAGAGUCCUGAUGCUGUGCCAGCACUGCUCAGCAGCAGACACAACACUGGUGUGAUACCACUGCUGCUUUAGCUACGAGUGCAGAGCACAGCACUGUAUGGGCUGCUGCUGGGAAAGAUAACAUCCCAGCCCGACCCAGUACAUGGAGAUCCCACAAAACAGAUACAGAUACAGAUGUAUGCUUGAGAGGACUUUGGAGGGAACAAUUUUAUUAUUUGUUGCUUUUUUGUUGUUGUGUUGUUGUUGUUGUUGAUUUGUUUGUUUCCUGUGGAGUAAGGGAGUGAGGUGAUUAACCAGGACGUGUGCAGUGUGGAUAAAGAGAAGACAGCAUCCCUGUGGGACGGGGAGGGGCCCAUCCAGAGCAUGCAGGCACUGUCCUGUGCCGCCCGGACUGGCACAGGCAAACCUAGAGGUGCCUUCCCAAACGCUUCCCUCGUGUACCAGGAGACGUGCUGGUGGCAGGAGGAGGCAGUUGGCUCUUUUGGGUUUCUCCCCUGGGCUCCAGAGGUGCCAUAGCACAGAGUCAGUCCUCCCGGCAUUGUGCGGGUCAGGGUACUCUGGGUCUCAGGCUGAGCUCUGCAACUUACAGACAUUAACUCUUAAGAGCCCCAGGAGCCAAAACGGAGAGGAAAUGACUCCUUUUAGCAGAGGACGGU
rnacentral:lncRNA from 1 species